rnacentral:rRNA from 1 species
ACUCCUACGGGAGGCAGCAGUAACGAAUCUUCCGCAAUGCACGAAAGUGUGACGGAGCGACGCCGCGUGUAGGAUGAAGUCCUUCGGGAUGUAAACUACUGUCAGGGGAAAGAAAGUUCUGAUCUACCCCAGAGGAAGAGGCGGCUAACUCUGUGCCAGCAGCCGCGGUAAU